GACGAACGCUGGCGGCGUGCCUAAUACAUGCAAGUCGAGCGGAUUGAUGGGAGCUUGCUCCCAUCAGUCAGCGGCGGACGGGUGAGUAACACGUGGGUAACCUGCCUGUAAGACUGGGAUAACUCCGGGAAACCGGGGCUAAUACCGGAUAACUCAUUUCCUCGCAUGAGGAAAUGUUGAAAGGUGGCUUUUAGCUAUCACUUACAGAUGGACCCGCGGCGCAUUAGCUAGUUGGUGAGGUAAUGGCUCACCAAGGCGACGAUGCGUAGCCGACCUGAGAGGGUGAUCGGCCACACUGGGACUGAGACACGGCCCAGACUCCUACGGGAGGCAGCAGUAGGGAAUCUUCCGCAAUGGACGAAAGUCUGACGGAGCAACGCCGCGUGAGUGAUGAAGGUUUUCGGAUCGUAAAGCUCUGUUGUUAGGGAAGAACAAGUACCGUUCGAAUAGGGCGGUACCUUGACGGUACCUAACCAGAAAGCCACGGCUAACUACGUGCCAGCAGCCGCGGUAAUACGUAGGUGGCAAGCGUUGUCCGGAAUUAUUGGGCGUAAAGCGCGCGCAGGUGGUUCCUUAAGUCUGAUGUGAAAGCCCACGGCUCAACCGUGGAGGGUCAUUGGAAACUGGGGAACUUGAGUGCAGAAGAGGAA
rnacentral:rRNA from 2 species